AACGAACGCUGGCGGCGUGCCUAACACAUGCAAGUCGCACGAGAAAGCUCCCUUCGGGGAGUGAGUACAGUGGCGCACGGGUGAGUAACGCGUGGGUAAUCUGCCCCCGAGUUGGGAAUAACCCCUCGAAAGGGGGGCUAAUACCGAAUAACAACCCGCUCUCCCUGGAGGGUGGGUUCAAAGGUGGCCUCUGUCGCAAGCUACCGCUUGGGGAGGAGCCCGCGUCCCAUUAGCUAGUUGGUAGGGUAAUGGCCUACCAAGGCAAUGAUGGGUAGCCGGCCUGAGAGGGUGUCCGGCCACACUGGAACUGAGACACGGUCCAGACUCCUACGGGAGGCAG
rnacentral:rRNA from 1 species